CCUAUUCUGGAGAGUUUUGGGAAUGCCAGAACCAUUCUCAAUGACAACUCGAGUCGUUUUGGGAAGCUUCUACAUGUCCACCUGCAGCAUGGGGCCAUGGUGGGAAUGUCCAUCUCCCAGUACCUGCUGGAGAAGUCUCGUGUGGUGUUUCAGGCUCAUGGUGAGAGGAACUACCACGUGUUUUAUGAGCUACUGGCUGGACUGCCUAUGGAGCAGAAAGAGGAGUUGUACUUGCAAGAGGCAGAGUCUUACUUYUACC